UUUAUGGAGAGUUUGAUCCUGGCUCAGGAUGAACGCUGGCGGCGUGCCUAAUACAUGCAAGUCGAGCGAACGGACAAGGAGCUUGCUCCUUUGAAGUUAGCGGCGGACGGGUGAGUAACACGUGGGUAACCUACCUAUAAGACUGGAAUAACUCCGGGAAACCGGGGCUAAUACCGGAUAACAUGUUGAACCGCAUGGUUCAACAGUGAAAGACGGUCUUGCUGUCACUUAUAGAUGGACCUGCGCCGUAUUAGCUAGUUGGUGGGGUAACGGCCUACCAAGGCGACGAUACGUAGCCGACCUGAGAGGGUGAUCGGCCACACUGGAACUGAGACACGGUCCAGACUCCUACGGGAGGCAGCAGUAGGG
rnacentral:rRNA from 1 species